CUUCUGCAAGGGCGCAGCCAUCUUGGGUUGCACCCACAAUGCACCGUUGGGGCGGCGAGAUUGUCGUGAAACGUCACCGCCGCUGUGGUGUCACACCAAAAUAUAAACACGCGCGUGUACACGAGGGACAACGAUUCGAGUGUUCACUACAGGAGGGGAACCAAUUCAAUCUCCUGGGUGUGAUAGAGGUUGGGACCUUGGGAAAGCUGGUAGCUAACAGGUGAGAAGAAAGAGAAAUUUUGUCUCAGUUUUUCUCCUCAUCCACCUGUUCUUCAUGGGGGGAACAGCUGGACUUAACCAUCUCCUGGUUCCAGAAAACCCAGGCAGGAAAAGCAGAAAAUCUGGUUUCAGAUGAAAGACUCUGACGACGCCUGACUGAAAAGCUAACCCUGAGUUCACAUUAAAGAUUCUCCAUCCACCUUAAUUGUGCACUAAUUGAGGUUUCAAACCAGGAUCACGGUGCAUCGAUCGGAACACGGCUGCAGCAUUUAGCGCUUCGAGCGGCAAUAAUAAAGCCCAGAGAGCAGGCAGCGACUGGCUGCUUGACUGUAAAGGCUGCUGACUGGUGCAGAGGAUCUCCAGUGUUUUCAUGCGCGUGGGGAGACUGGCUCCUUCAUUCUGAGUGAGAUGUUUGCUUACGUGUGCUGCCUGUGUUUUUCUGCUUCCUGUGUGUCUCAUUCCCUCUUGCUGUGUAUUUAUACCCACCUCUUGUGU